ACCUAUUAAUUUAGUGAUACAAAUAAAAGUCCAAAAAAGGAUACAUACACAAAGUAAAUAUAUACACGUAAUAAACGUAGAAAAUAUACAUAAAGCACAUAAAACUGUAAAAAUACAUAAAAAAAACGUAUAUACACAAACUGGUUAUAAUAAGGUGCUUCAGUUCAUUGGACUUUCUUCCGUUCUUUCACUAGCCAACUUACUGUAGGUCCUUUUAUAAGUCGCUAGAGCAUAUCUCCUCGCUUGGGGAGGCUCCCAUGUGAUUUUAUCAUUAAUAAGCUUUUUCUCAUUUGUCCUUUUAAGUAUCUCAAGUGAUUCAGUGAUAACAGGUUGCGUACAAUCCUUGAGUGGCUUUAUCUGUCUCACUCCUUUCUAGUCAGUAUCUAUGUUUCCAUCAUAUGUCUCCACCGCAAGUGCCGUAUUUAGGUUUGCUUGGCAUAUAUCCCUUCUGUGUUCUUCCAUCCUUGCGCCUAUUGACCUUGAAGUGACCCCAAUAUACACAGAAUUUUCUUUGGAAAUAUUAUCAAUCACAGGUAUCUCAUAAACACCUUUCUUUUCUGUUUGCUUCAAGGGAUCUUUUUCAUUUCUUAAAAUAUUAUAUAAUGUUGGGUUUCUCUUGACUGCCAUCUUUUUUCUUAUUCUUCCUAAAGAUCUUCUGAAUGACUUUAAGCUUCUUUAGAUGGUACGGAACCGACCUAUAUUCGGUCUCCUGCUCCUCAUGGCCUACCAGUUUUACUUGGACCAUAGUUUCAUUCAUCUGUUCUAAUAUUCAGUUUAAGAAUAGCUUACUAUAUCCAUGCUCUUUACCUAUUUGGAAUAUAUAUGUAAGUUCUUCCUUUAGUUCUUCAUCCCCACUACUGUAUAGGCGGGCCUUCUGAAGAGGCUUCUAAAUACUGACUUCUUAAAGACUAUCGGGUUGUUCAACCACUUCGGUAUUAGCAUGGCUUUAUAGGUCGGCUUCCUGUAGACUUGAGUUCUAGCACAUCCAUUCCACAGUUUAAUCUGAAUGUUCAGGAAAUGCACAUUGUUUCUACUUAGUUGGUCUCUCUUUAGUUUAAGGCCAUAUUGGCCUAAGAUGAGCUUUUGUGCAAAAUCGUCUACCAGUUGAUCAUUGUUCCAACAUAUCAAGUAUCGUCCAAAUAUCUACUAUAUAGGUAAAUAUUCUGCCUAAAUUUGAUUAAUUUCUGCUCUUCCACAGUCCUAAGGAGUAUCUCUGCCAAAGCUCCAGCAAUCGGGCUGCCAAUCGGCACCCCUUUGACAUGCCUAAAGAUUUUUCCUUUGAACAUGAAAUACGAGUUGUAGCAGAUCAAGUGUGCUACAUCUCUAACUAGCAUAGUAUCUAAAUUUCUAUCUGGCAGAUUUUCCAGGAGAAAACAAUAAAUUUGUAGAAUUAAAAUUGUUUGCGUGGUUUGACAUGUGUACGAUUGAGUGUUCUAUGCUAACGACCUAGUUCUGUUCGAGCAUUCUUUUUAUGUUCUUUCAUGUUCUG
rnacentral:lncRNA from 1 species